CCCAUCUGAAAUGAAAUAGUUUUCUCAGUGGUUUUCAAUAAAUAUCGCAGCGCACGUGUGUGUGUAUGUGUAUAUAUAUGCACGUGCGCUAGCCAACAGAUAUCACUAGCCGACUAUUGUUCUACCACCACAGACAGUCUACCGAAUCCGAAGAUGAGAGUUCUGUUGAUUUUCGCUUUGCUCUGCGCUUUGUUGCUGUGCUCUGAAAGUCGCCACGAUGAACGUGGGAGAGGGUGCGGGAGAAUAAUUCACGACCUGCAACAUAUGAUUGAGAACCUGCAAGCCGAGUUGGAUGAAUGCCUUGCGCCACCUACUACAACGCCGCCAGCCGGACCUACUACAACGCCGCCAGCCACAUCUCCGCCUUAAGGU